rnacentral:lncRNA from 1 species
AUGAUUGCUCAAAUUUUAUUAUUUUUCAAGCUGAUGCGAAGCCGAGUUCUUAUGUACUGAAUCUUCAGGGACCGGAAGAAAUGGCACAUAGAUUGAUAAGAAAUAUGAUAACGAUGUCAAAACAAGUUGUUAUGGAUUCUAGUUUCCUAAAAAGUUUGAGUCAUAUCACAAUCAUUUUCCUUUUAUUUCUUAUCAUCCGUAGAGGGUUGAUUUUGAAAUAAGGCACCAGACUCUUAUUACAUCAAAUCUACAACAUCAGAUUAUGGUAAUGAACAAGAUCAAAGAUCAGGACGAGAUAGAUGACAUCGGGCAGAAUAAUAAUUAUCCUGCGUUUGGUAAACAAAUAAAUUUCCAGGUAAAGGAAGUAAAAGAAAUAUCCUAAACACAUAGAAAAAUCUUUAAUACUUGAAUUAAUAUUAUCAAAAUAAAAUUAAAAAAAUUAUAAUUCAAGCCACAAACCGAAUUUUAUAGCUAAAAGGUUUUGAAUGUAACAGAAUUCUUAUAACUGGUAAUAAACUUCUAAUAGGUAACAACUUCAUAUAAUUAUGCCGAAAAUUAAUUACAUAAUAACAUAAAAGAUUUACUUUCUAAUAAAAUACUACUACAUAGAAAACGAAAACAUAACAAAAAAAAUAAACUCAAAGUCAGGCCCGAAGAAAAAUCUGAUCCUGACUCCUAAUGAGAUUUCCAAAGUCGAGCUCCCGAAGUCAUCCGUCAUUUUUGUGUCGAUCCAGCAAAUAGUAUUUCAGCGCCAUCAAAGUACUAUCCGACAACUCAGCAUCAUCAAACUCAGAUCCUUCAACAUCAUCACUCAGAUCCUCCAGCAUCAAUAAACAACAAGUAAUUGAAGGGUUAGAAAAACUUCAAAAUUCUAAAAUGAGACUACUCAUGUAUCUUGAUUAAAAAUUGAAGAUUUGUAUUACUGGAUGUGUAUAUAUAUGUAUGUAUAUUUGUAGAGAGAGAAAACGAGGGUUCAUACCUCGGUAUAAGGCGGGUAGUUAAAAUUAGGAGCGUGAUUUUGGGUGGGGUGGGCAACGUAAGCUAUCAGAGGUGUCAGUCUGGUCGCCGGCCGCAAAGACCUGAAUAGGAGAGAGAUCAGGGAAAGCUACAAAGAGGAAAGAAAAAAUGAUUUAUUUCUAGAGAGAAUAUAAAAAAGUUUUUUUGUGAGGAGAGGAAUUAUAUAAUAAAUAUAAG